GCCUGGCUGGCUUAGUCAGUUAAGCAUCUGACUUCAGCUCAGGUGAUCCCAUGGUUUGUGGAUUUGAGCCCCGUGUUGGGCU
rnacentral:tRNA from 1 species